rnacentral:lncRNA from 1 species
GUGUAUUGAAUUGAGAUUUUAAAGAAGUUUCAAAGCUUAGAUUUUAUACAAGUUUAUAAAAUUCUUUAUUUAAUUCAAACUUUUUAAAGUUCAAAUUUGGAGGUAUUCAAUGGCGAUUUUAAACGACUACAUUAAAAUUUGGGUUAUUCAAAAAAAUCAUUGACUUUAAAGGAAACAUAAAAAGUGAUCAAUUUCGUUGGAGAGGUUUUUCUUUUUUUUUUCUUUUUUUUUCAAUUUUAAAAAUAUAAAAUUAGUUUCUUUACUUUUUUUUUUUGGCCAACUUCUUUAAUUUAAU